CCUUCGAUAGCUCAGUUGGUAGAGCGGUGGACUGUAGCUGACAAUGCACAGGAAUAGAUAUCCAUAGGUCGCUGGUUCAAAUCCGGCUCGAAGGA
rnacentral:tRNA from 1 species